ensembl:lncRNA
UAUAUGUUUUUAAGCUCUUAUUUGAAAAUAUACAAAUGUAUUAAUAUGAUGGAGGUAGUAGAAAAUGCAAAAUACAAUGAUGGUAAUGUUAACUAUUGUAGUAGUAACAGUUGUGCUAUUAGUAAUACGAAUUAUGAACAUAUAGACUCAACCAACUUUAUACGAUUUUAUUUGAUAUAUUUUGAUACAUAUAAAGAGAAAGAAAAUAAAAAUAAAAAUUCGAUUAAUUUUAUUUUUUUUUUAAUUAACAAUUUAACAAAAGAAUUUAACAAAAGCAAAAAAAUUGUAUUAGAAAGUAUAACCAAAUUUAUAAACAUAAAUGAUUGUAUGAAUAAACCCUUUGUUUAUUACAUACAAAACAAAAUUGGAUGUUACUUUUUAAAAAAAGUAAAAAGUGAAUAUGUAAUUUAUAAUAGAGAAGAAAGAAAACGUUUAUAUAAAAUAAAAAGUUCUAUUUUGCACAAAAUUGAAAAGGAGAAAAAACAAAAAAUAGAUACACACAGUAAAAAUGGAAAAUGUGAUAAGUCAUAUGAUAAGGUGUAUUACCAAACCAAAAAAUUCGAACACACUCAACUAAAAUUAAUAAAUAAUAUGAAAAAAAAAAUAGAUGCACGAUUGUUUAUUCCUUUUAUUAAAAUAUAUGACAACGUUUGUUAUGAUAUGAAGAAAUCUGUUUUUGUUAAUCAUGAGAAGAACAAAUUGUUUGAUUUUUUUUUUUAUAAUUAUAAACACAUGUGUCUUAAGUUUGAUACAAAAAGUUUGAUAAUAACAUUAAAUAGUUUUUCAAAAAAAAAUAAAAUGAUAAAUGAUGAAGUAUUAUAUAUGUUAAUUAAUUUAAUUGGAAAAAAAAUUAAUUGUUUUGAUUAUGAACAAAUAAUAGGAAUAAUGAAUAGUUUAUCAAAUAUUAGUAAUAGUAAAUUGUCAAAUAAUUGUUUAAAUUUUUUAAUUCGUUUUUUAUUUAAUAAUAAUAAAAUAAUAUAUUUAAAAGAUAAUCAUAUUAAUAUAUUGCUAAAUGUAAUUGUAAAAAAAAAAAAAUUUAUAAAUACAGAUUGUAUUUAUUUUAUAGCUCAUUUUGUAGAAAAUUAUAAACCAUUUUAUAAAAAUUUAAAAAAUAUAUAUUUAUAUUUUUAUUUUCAUUAUAAUUUUAAUUGUUUUAAUCAAAAUUUUUUAAAUUUCUUAUAUUCUUCCUUAAUAAGCCAAAAAAUUAUAACUAAUUUUCAAGACUUAAACAAUGUUCUUUCAUCCACACUACUUAUUAAUAAUAAUAUAAAAUAUAUGAAACAACUUUUUAAAUUAGUAGAUACAUCUGUUUUAUAUAUUUUAAAAAAUAUAAAUAAUAAAAAUAACAUUUGUUUAACACAUAUCGACAAUAUUAUGAAUUUUAUUUUUUAUAUGAACAAGUCCAUGACAAAUCAAGUUUAUAAAGCUAGCAAAAAAAAUUUACUAAUUAAGUCGAAAAAAGUUUUUAAUUGUAGAAAUAAUAAAAACAGUAAUAAUUAUCCAAAAACGAAUAUUACAUCCUUAGGAAUGAGUAAUACCACUGUUUCGACUAAUGUCAAGUGUAAUAAUAACAUAUAUUUAAAAAAAAAUGCCAAACAAGUGUUAUUUUACUUUUCUUAUAAUUCAUAUAACAAAAUAUAUUACCACACGUCAGCAUUUAAUAUAAAAAUUUUCAUUUUAAUUAAACAAAUUUUAUUAAAAUUUAUGAACAAACAACAUUGUGAUCAUAUUAAUAAUAUAAAUUGUUUUAUUUAUUUUAUAAAAAUGUUAUGUAAUCUAUAUGAGUUACAAAGAAAAACAAAUUUAAUAAAAAAAAUAUAUACUUAUUUUUAUAUAGCACAGAAUAAAUAUAUAUGUCAACAAAAUAAGAUUAUGAAUAAUUAUUUAGUAAGAGUUGUCCAAGACAUUCAAAAAAAUAUUUUACAGUUUUUAAUAGGGGCUAAGUUCAGUGAAUCUCUUAUUAAUAUUUUUUUUAAAUAUAACGUGUACAUGUUAAAAGGUAAUUACUUCGUUAAAGAACUUAACAAUACAACAUAUAUAAAUUUAUAUUUGCAAUCAACUUUAAAUAGGAUAGAAAAAAAUCAACUGAACACUAAUUAUUUUAUAUUUUUAAUGAAUUUUUUAAGUUCUUAUAAAAUUGACGAAAUUGUGUUAGCAAAGUGUGGCAUCGUUUUUGGGAACGGAAUAAAUUUUAAAAACACGGAGCGGAUAAGCCAAGAAAUUAUCGAAAUGACAGUAAUAAAAAAGUUUUUAGCUAACAACAAAUCAGAAAAUUUAAACCAAAAAAGAGAAAAGCUGAUGUUACAUAUUUAUAAUGAAAAACCUUUCUCCCUCAAAAAAAGAACAAAAAAAAAUAAAAAAAACGUUUUAGAAAAUUUUUUUUUAAAUUAUAAGUACACAACAGAUAGUAAUUAUUUAAAAAAAUAUGAAUAUAAAAGAAAUGUUUAUAUGAACCGAAUUAUAAAUAAUAUAGAAAAAAAGAUUUUUAAAAGAAAAAUAAAAAAAUUAGAUGACUCUAUCAAAUUAAACAAUCAUUUUAAAAAUAUUAAUAUAUACAACAAAUUUUUAAUUAGUAAAUUUUUAAAAAAAUGGGAAAAAAAAAUAAAAAAAAAUUGCAUAUUAAAGGUUAAUUACAAUUUAAAUUAUAUUGAAACAGAAAACAUAAUUGAAUUGUUAUUUAGUUCAGUUUUUUUAUAUUUUAGAUAUUUUAUAAAUAAUCUAAUUGAUAAAAAAAACAAAAAAGAAAUUAACCAAGCAAUAAAUUCUUCCAUUAAUAUCUAUAAAAAAUUAAUUAUAUAUGUAUUAAACAAAAUGGUACUUUUAAAAAAACCCAAAAUAAUUAAUAUACAAUAUUCUACUUGUUAUUAUAAACUGAUGUUAUGUAUAUGUACAUUGAAAUAUAUAUUACCACAAAUUUAUUCUACUUACUUUUAUAUUUUAAUGUAUUGGAAAAAAAUAUUAGACAAAAAUUUAAAAAAACAAAAAACGUUAAAAAAUUAUUUUGAUUAUGUUAAAAGUGAUUUGAUAAGCUCAGAUGAAAAGUUAGCUGCGUUAGAAAUUAAAGCAUGUACACAUAUCGAAAAAAACGAUUUUUUAAAAAAUAUUGAAAAAUGUGAUAGCCUUAAUGGUAGUUAUAAAAAUAGUAACAAUAAAAAAAUUGAAUUAUUAAAUGGAGGGGACAAGGAAAAAGAUACAAUAGAUUCCUAUAAACAAUCGUUUUUAAAUUUAUUGCAUUAUCCAUGUAUAUCACAAACAAAAUACAAAUAUAAAUUACAAGAAGAUAAUUAUAACUGUUACCAUUCUUUUGAAAAUAAUUUACAAUUCAAAAAUUGUAUUUAUUAUAAAAAUUUAGUUUACAACAACAUGUAUGAACAAUACAGUUAUUUACAAAAUAUGUCGAACAAAGUGUAUUUGUAUUUUAUGCUUUUAAAAAAUGAAUUUUUACAAAACAAACGAAACAGACAAAACAAACAAAACAGACAAAGACAAAAUUAUAUAAAAUGUCGUGGAAAAUAUAUACAUACAAGAAAAAAAAAAAAAAGCAUAUUAUUUCGAAAUUAUUUUAAUAUAAUAGAUGUUAACAAAAUUGAUUUUUUUCAUAACCAUUUAAUAAGGGUUGAUAUAAAAAAAAACAAAAGCUUUGAAAAUGAUACAAAUACUUAUUUCUUUUUCGUAUAUUCCUUUUUUAACAUAUACAAAGUUGUAACAAAUGGGAUGAGUAGUGAUAGUAUGUGUAGUAACGAAAUAAGUAGUGUCUCAAAUGAACAGUUUUAUCUCAAAAGAGAAACCUCACUAAUCUUGUUUCUUAUUCAGACUAUGUUGGGCAAACAGUUUUUUUCAACUAGGUUUAAGUUAAUACCAUUAUACUCAGAAGAUAUCCACAAUAUACAAACUAAAAAUUCUUUUUAUUUGUAUUUAUCAAAACGGUUAAGGGACUAA